GAUGAACGCUGGCGGCGUGCCUAAUACAUGCAAGUCGAACGAGGUGCUUUUGUAGCAAUACGAGAGUAUCCUAGUGGCGAACGGGUGAGUAACGCGUUGGUGACCUGCCCCAAAGUGCGGGAUAACAGUCCGAAAGGAUUGCUAAUACCGCAUGUGGUUAUCGGGUUUAGAAACCGAUAACUAAAGAAGCAAUUCGCUUUGGGAGGGACCUGCGUCCCAUCGGCUAGUUGGUGAGGUAACGGCUCACCAAGGCGACGACGGGUAGGGGACCUGAGAGGGUGACCCCCCACAAUGGAACUGAAACACGGUCCAUACACCUACGGGUGGCAGCAGUAGGGAAUAUUGCACAAUGGGCGAAAGCCUGAUGCAGCAACGCCGCGUGUGCGAUGAAGGCCUUCGGGUCGUAAAGCACUUUUCUGCGAGAUGAGAAAGGACAGUAUCGUAGGAAUAAGUCUCGGCUAACUACGUGCCAGCAGCCGCCGUAAAAC
rnacentral:rRNA from 1 species